GACAGAGGUCUCAAGCGUUGUUCGGAUUUACUGGGCGUAAAGGGCGCGCAGGCGGCCGGGCACAGUCCGGCGUGAAAGCCCGCAGCUUAACUGCGGAAGGGCGUCGGAUACUACCUGGCUCGAGGGUUGGAAGGGGGAUUGGAAUUCUCGGUGUAGCGGUGAAAUGCAUAGAGAUCGAGAAGAACACCGGUAGCGAAGGCGAGUCCCUGGACAAUCCCUGACGCUGAGGCGCGAAAGCCGGGGGA
rnacentral:rRNA from 1 species